GACGAACGCUGGCGGCGUGCCUAAUACAUGCAAGUCGAACGAACUCUGGUAUUGAUUGGUGCUUGCAUCAUGAUUUACAUUUGAGUGAGUGGCGAACUGGUGAGUAACACGUGGGAAACCUGCCCAGAAGCGGGGGAUAACACCUGGAAACAGAUGCUAAUACCGCAUAACAACUUGGACCGCAUGGUCCGAGUUUGAAAGAUGGCUUCGGCUAUCACUUUUGGAUGGUCCCGCGGCGUAUUAGCUAGAUGGUGGGGUAACGGCUCACCAUGGCAAUGAUACGUAGCCGACCUGAGAGGGUAAUCGGCCACAUUGGGACUGAGACACGGCCCAAACUCCUACGGGAGGCAGCAGUAGGGAAUCUUCCACAAUGGACGAAAGUCUGAUGGAGCAACGCCGCGUGAGUGAAGAAGGGUUUCGGCUCGUAAAACUCUGUUGUUAAAGAAGAACAUAUCUGAGAGUAACUGUUCAGGUAUACGGUAUUUAACCAGAAAGCCACGGCUAACGUGCCAGCAGCCGCGGUAACGUAGGUGGCAAGCGUUGUCCGGAUUUAGGCGUAAAGCGAGCGCAGGCGGUUUUAAGUCUGAUGUGAAAGCCUUCGGCUCCCGAAGAAGUGCAUCGGAAACUGGGAAACUUGAGUGCAGAAGAGGACAGUGGAACUCCAUGUGGCGGUGAAAUGCGUAGAUAUAUGAACACCAGUGGCGAAGGCGGCUGUCUCUGUAACUGACGCUGAGGCUCGAAAGUAUGGGUAGCAAAGAUUAGAUACCCUGGUAGUCCAUACCGUAUGAAUGCUAAGUGUUGGAGGGUUUCCGCCAGUGCUGCAGCUAACGCAUUAAGCAUUGCCUGGGGAGUACGGCCGCAAGGCUGAAACUCAAAGGAAUUGACGGGGGCCACAAGCGGUGGAGCAUGUGGUUUAAUUCGAAGCUACGCGAAGAACCUUACCAGGGACAUACUAUGCAAAUCUAAGAGAUUAGACGUUCCCUUCGACAUGGAUACAGGUGGUGCAUGGUUGUCGUCAGCUCGUGGUGAGAUGUUGGGUUAAGUCCCGCAACGAGCGCAACCCUUAAUCAGUUGCCAGCAUUAAGUUGGGCACUCUGGUGAGACUGCCGGUGACAAACCGGGAAGGUGGGGAUGACGUCAAAUCAUCAUGCCCCUUAUGACCUGGGCUACACGUGCUACAAUGGAUGGUACAACGAGUUGCGAACUCGCGAGAGAGCUAAUCUCUUAAAGCCAUUCUCAGUGGAUUGUAGGCUGCAACUCGAUGAAGUCGGAAUCGCUAGUAAUCGCGGAUCAGCAUGCCGCGGUGGUUCCCGGGCCUUGUACACACCGCCCGUCACUGAGAGUUUGUAACACCCAAAGUCGGUGGGGUAACCUUUUAGGAACCAGCCGCCUAAGGUGGAUGAUUAGGGUGAAGUCGUAACAAGGUAGCCGUAGGGAGA
rnacentral:rRNA from 2 species